UAGGGUUUGAUCCUGGCUCAGAUUGAACGCUGGCGGCAGGCCUAACACAUGCAAGUCGAGCGGAUGAAGGGAGCUUGCUCCUGGAUUCAGCGGCGGACGGGUGAGUAAUGCCUAGGAAUCUGCCUGGUAGUGGGGGAUAACGUCCGGAAACGGGCGCUAAUACCGCAUACGUCCUGAGGGAGAAAGUGGGGGAUCUUCGGACCUCACGCUAUCAGAUGAGCCUAGGUCGGAUUAGCUAGUUGGUGGGGUAAAGGCCUACCAAGGCGACGAUCCGUAACUGGUCUGAGAGGAUGAUCAGUCACACUGGAACUGAGACACGGUCCAGACUCCUACGGGAGGCAGCAGUGGGGAAUAUUGGACAAUGGGCGAAAGCCUGAUCCAGCCAUGCCGCGUGUGUGAAGAAGGUCUUCGGAUUGUAAAGCACUUUAAGUUGGGAGGAAGGGCAGUAAGUUAAUACCUUGCUGUUUUGACGUUACCAACAGAA
rnacentral:rRNA from 1 species